UUGGGCAAACUAUUUGAGAGAGACUCAUAGGCAAGGUGGCUUCAUCUUGAAUGGAGUUAAUUAACUCCAUAGGAUAGAAUAACUACACUAGCUCAAAAUCAAGCAAAAAUUUGAAAAUGGCCUGAAGGUAACCCCCAAAGAAAAUUAAUCUAAACCCUCUGGCUCAAAUCCUUCCCACUACUUCUUGCCUGGAGGCAAGAACAUUAAAAAGAAGAACCCUCUUUCCAAAUUUAGUAGCCAAAAUCCUAAACCAUAAAUCUACCUCGAGCCAAAAUCAUCCAAAUCUCAACCAUGGUCCAAACCCACACCUAGGGAUGGCAAUAGAUUGGGUCAGCCCGCACCUAUACCCACUACGUAGUCAAAAACACCACACCAAUAUCUGUCUUGUGUAUAUCUCAGGUCAGUCGAGUCGGAUCGAUUCAGGUCAAGUACAGGUGCAAGUC
rnacentral:lncRNA from 1 species